rnacentral:rRNA from 1 species
UACCAGCACCCCGAGUGGUCGGGACGAUUAUUGGGCCUAAAGCAUCCGUAGCCGGUCCUGCAAGUCUUCCGUUAAAUCCAGCUGCUCAACAGAUGGGCUGCGGGAGAUACUACAGGGCUAGGAGGCGGGAGAGGCAAGCGGUACUUUAUGGGUAGGGUAAAUCCGCUGAUCCAUAGAAGACCACCAGUGGCGAAGGCGGCUUGCCAGAACGCGCUCGACGGUGAGGGAUGAAAGCUGGGGAGCAAACCGG